GUCUAUGGCCAAGCCCUGAACAAGCCGGAUCCUGUCUGAUCUCGUAAGCUAAGCAGAGUCGGGCCUGGUUAGUACUUGGAUGGGAGACCACCUAGGAAGACAAGGUGCUGUAGGCG
rnacentral:rRNA from 1 species